GAUGAACGCUAGCGGCAGGCUUAAUACAUGCAAGUCGAGGGGUAACAGGUCUGUAGCAAUACAGAUGCUGACGACCGGCAAACGGGUGCGGAACACGUACAGAACCUUCCUUCGAGUGGGAGAUAGCCCAGGGAAACUUGGAGUAAUAUCCCAUAGGAUCAUAGAGUGGCAUCACUUAGUGAUUAAAGAUUUAUCGCUUGAAGAUGGCUGUGCGGCUGAUUAGGUAGUUGGUGUAGGUAACGGCUCACGAAGCCUUCGAUCAGUAACUGGUGUGAGGGCACGACCAGUCACACGGGCAAUGAGACACGGGCCCGACGCCUACGGGAGGCAGCAGUAAGGAAUAUUGGGCAAUGGAGGCAACUCUGACCCAGCCAUGCCGCGUGGAGGAUGAAGGUCCUCUGGAUUGUAAACUUCUUUUAUUUGGGAAGAAAUGCCAAUUUUCUAAUUGGUUUGACGGUACCAGAUGAAUAAGCACCGGCUAACUCCGUGCCAGCCGCCGCAGUAACAC
rnacentral:rRNA from 1 species